CUGGCGGCGUGCCUAACACAUGCAAGUCGAACGGGAAUCUUCGGAUUCUAGUGGCGGACGGGUGAGUAACGCGUAAGAAUCUAACUUCAGGACGGGGACAACAGUUGGAAACGACUGCUAAUACCCGAUGUGCCGCAAGGUGAAAACUAAUUGGCCUGAAGAAGAGCUUGCGUCUGAUUAGCUAGUUGGUGGGGUAAGAGCCUACCAAGGCGACGAUCAGUAGCUGGUCUGAGAGGAUGAGCAGCCACACUGGGACUGAGACACGGCCCAGACUCCUACGGGAGGCAGCAGUGGGGAAUUUUCCGCAAUGGGCGAAAGCCUGACGGAGCAACGCCGCGUGAGGGAGGAAGGUCUUUGGAUUGUAAACCUCUUUUCUCAAGGAAGAAGUUCUGACGGUACUUGAGGAAUCAGCCUCGGCUAACUCCGUGCCAGCAGCCGCGGUAAUACGGGGGAGGCAAGCGUUAUCCGGAAUUAUUGGGCGUAAAGCGUCCGCAGGUGGUCAGCCAAGUCUGCCGUCAAAUCAGGUUGCUUAACGACCUAAAGGCGGUGGAAACUGGCAGACUAGAGAGCAGUAGGGGUAGCAGGAAUUCCCAGUGUAGCGGUGAAAUGCGUAGAGAUUGGGAAGAACAUCGGUGGCGAAAGCGUGCUACUGGGCUGUAUCUGACACUCAGGGACGAAAGCUAGGGGAGCGAAAGGGAUUAGAUACCCCUGUAGUCCUAGCCGUAAACGAUGGAUACUAGGCGUGGCUUGUAUCGACCCGAGCCGUGCCG
rnacentral:rRNA from 1 species